rnacentral:rRNA from 1 species
AUUGAACGCUGGCGGAAUGCUUUACACAUGCAAGUCGAACGGCAGCACGGACUUCGGUCUGGUGGCGAGUGGCGAACGGGUGAGUAAUGUAUCGGAACGUGCCCAGUCGUGGGGGAUAACGUAGUGAAAAUUACGCUAAUACCGCAUACGAUCUAUGGAUGAAAGCGGGGGAUCGCAAGACCUCGCGCGAUUGGAGCGGCCGAUAUCAGAUUAGGUAGUUGGUGGGGUAAAGGCCCACCAAGCCAACGAUCUGUAGCUGGUCUGAGAGGACGACCAGCCACACUGGAACAGGGAAACGGUCCAGACUCCUACGAGAGGCAGCAGUGGGGAAUUUUGGACAAUGGGCGAAAGCCUGAUCCAGCCAUUCCGCGUGCAGGAUGAAGGCCCUCGGGUUGUAAACUGCUUUUGUACAGAACGAAAAGGUUUCUACUAAUACUAGGAGCUCAUGACGGUACUGUAAGAAUAAGCACCGGCUAACUACGUGCCAGCCGCCGCAGUAA